rnacentral:rRNA from 1 species
AGUGAACGCUGGCGGCAGGCCUAACACAUGCAAGUCGAGCGGCAGCGCGUCCGACCACCCUCGGGUGGUCGGAUGGCGGCGAGCGGCGGACGGGUGAGGAAUGCAUCGGAAUCUGCCUCGUUGUGGGGAUAACGUAGGGAAACUUACGCUAAUACCGCAUACGACCUACGGGUGAAAGUGGGGGACCUUCGGGCCUCGCACUAUUGGAUGAGCCUAUGUCAGAUUAGCUUGUUGGUGGGGUAACGGCCUACCAAGGCGACGAUCUGUAGCUGGUCUGAGAGGACGAUCAGCCACACUGGGACUGAGACACGGCCCAGACUCCUACGGGAGGCAGCAGUGGGGAAUAUUACACAAUGGGCGAAAGCCUGAUGCAGCAAUGCCGCGUGUGUGAAGAAGGCCUGCGGGUUGUAAAGCACCUUCAGUAGGGAGGAAACAGUAGCCGGUUAAUAUCCGGUUGCCUUGACGUUACCUACAGAAGAAGCACCGGCUAACUCUGUG